AACGAACGCUGGCGGCAGGCCUAACACAUGCAAGUCGAACGCCCUAGCAAUAGGGAGUGGCAGACGGGUGAGUAACACGUGGGAACCUUCCCUAUAGUACGGAAUAUACCAGGGAAACUUGGAGCAAUACCGUAUACGCCCGAGAGGGAAGGAUUUAUCGCUAUAGGAUGGGCCCGCGUAGGAUUAGCUAGUUGGUGAGGUAAUGGCUCACCAAGGCGACGAUCCUUAGCUGGUUUGAGAGAACGACCAGCCACACUGGGACUGAGACACGGCCCAGACUCCUACGGGAGGCAGCAGUGGGGAAUAUUGGACAAUGGGCGGCAAGCCUGAUCCAGCCAUGCCGCGUGAGUGAUGAAGGCCUUAGGGUUGUAAAGCUCUUUUUGCCGGGACGAUAAUGACGGUACCCGGAGAAUAAGUCCCGGCUAACUUCGUGCCAGCCGCCGCCGUAAC
rnacentral:rRNA from 1 species